rnacentral:rRNA from 1 species
UACGUAGGGGGCAAGCGUUGUCCGGAAUCAUUGGGCGUAAAGAGCGUGUAGGCGGCCCGGUAAGUCCGCUGUGAAAGUCCAGGGCUCAACCCUGGGAUGCCGGUGGAUACUGUCGGGCUCGAGUCCGGAAGAGGAGUGUGGAAUUCCUGGUGUAGCGGUGAAAUGCGCAGAUAUCAGGAGGAACACCAAUGGCGAAGGCAGCACUCUGGGACGUGACUGACGGCUGAGACGCGAAAAGCGUGGGGGAGCAAACAGG